rnacentral:rRNA from 1 species
CCUACGGGAGGCAGCAGUAGGGAAUAUUGCUCAAUGGGGGAAACCCUGAAGCAGCAACGCCGCGUGGAGGAUGAAGGUUUUCGGAUUGUAAACUCCUUUUGUUAGAGAAGAUAAUGACGGUAUCUAACGAAUAAGCACCGGCUAACUCCGUGCCAGCAGCCGCGGUAAUACGGAGGGUGCAAGCGUUACUCGGAAUCACUGGGCGUAAAGAGCGCGUAGGCGGGAUAGCAAGUCAGAUGUGAAAUCCUAUGGCUUAACCAUAGAACUGCAUUUGAAACUGUUAUUCUAGAGUAUGGGAGAGGUAGGUGGAAUUCUUGGUGUAGGGGUAAAAUGCGUAGAGAUCAAGAGGAAUACUCAUUGCGAAGGCGGCCUGCUAGAACAUAACUGACGCUGAUGCGCGAAAGCGUGGGGAGCAAACAGGAUUAGAUACCCCGGUAGUC